rnacentral:rRNA from 1 species
GAUGAACACUGGCGGCGGGCCUAAUACAUGCAAGUAGAACGCAGUUGCGAACGGGUGAGUAACGCGUAGGUAACUGCCGCAUAGCGGGGGAUAACUCUUGGAAACGAUAGCUAAAACCGCAUACUGUGAGAUGGACGUUCGUUGUAUUAGUUAGGUGGUGAGGUAAAGGCUCAACAAGGCGACGAUACAUAGCCGGCCUGAGAGGGAGAGCCGCCACACUGUGACUGAGACACGGGCCAGACUCCUACCGGAGGGAGCAGUAGGGAAUCUUCGGCAAUUGGCGGAAGGCUGGACGCGCAACGCCGGGGGAGUGAAAAAAGUUUUCGGAUCGUAAAGCUCUGUUGUUCGAGGAGCGGUAACUGAACAAAAAGGGACGGCUAACUACGUGCCAGCAGCCGCGGUAAUAC